UACGUAGGGUGCGAGCGUGUCCGGAAUUAUUGGGCGUAAAGAGCUCGUAGGCGGUGUGUCACGUCGGCCGUGAAAACCUGCAGCUUAACUGUGGGCGUGCGGUCGAUACGGGCAUGACUGGAGUUCGGCAGGGGAGACUGGAAUUCCUGGUGUAGCGGUGAAAUGCGCAGAUAUCAGGAGGAACACCGGUGGCGAAGGCGGGUCUCUGGGCCGAUACUGACGUGAGGAGCGAAAGCGUGGGGAGCAAACAGG
rnacentral:rRNA from 1 species